rnacentral:rRNA from 1 species
AGAGUUUGAUCCUGGCUCAGAGUGAACGCUAGCGGCGUGGUUAAGACAUGCAAGUCGAGCGAUGAAGUCCCUUCGGGGAUGGAAUAGCGGCAAACGGGUGCGUAACACGUGAGCAACCUGCCUUGAAGUGGGGGAUAGCCCGGGGAAACCCGGAUUAAUACCGCAUGUGGUCCCUUUUCGCAUGGGAAGUGGACCAAAGCUUGAAAAGGCGCUUCAAGAGGGGCUCGCGGCCUAUCAGCUUGUUGGUGAGGUAAAGGCUCACCAAGGCGAAGACGGGUAGCUGGUCUGAGAGGAUGAUCAGCCACACUGGGACUGAGAUACGGCCCAGACACCUACGGGUGGCAGCAGUUUCGAAUCAUUCACAAUGGGGGAAACCCUGAUGGUGCAACGCCGCGUGGAGGAUGAAGGCCUUCGGGUUGUAAACUCCUGUCACCAGGGAACAAACAGUCGGUUCGUAGCCGGCUCUGAGUUAACCUGGAGAGGAAGAGGUGGCUAACUCCGUGCCAGCAGCCGCGGUAAUACGGAGACCUCAAGCGUUACUCGGAUUCACUGGGCGUAAAGAGUAUGUAGGCUGUCUGGUAUGUCAGGUGUGAAAGCCCGGGGCUCAACCUCGGAAUUGCGCCUGAAACUACCGGACUCGAGGCCUGGAGAGGGGAGUGGAAUUCCUGGUGUAGCGGUGAAAUGCGUAGAUAUCAGGAGGAACACCAAUGGCGAAGGCAGCUCCCUGGACAGGUUCUGACGCUGAGAUACGAAAGCGUGGGUAGCGAAAGGGAUUAGAUACCCCUGUAGUCCACGCCGUAAACGUUGUACACUAGGUUUCGGAGGGCCUACCCCUUCGGAGCUCCAGCUAACGCGUUAAGUGUACCGCCUGAGGACUACGGCCGCAAGGCUAAAACUCA